CUGGCCUUAAAAGCAUUAGCUGAUCCUCACAAGUGUUUGGUUCUACUCAGCGUGAUAAAUGAACUUCUGACCGCUGAGGACAUCUGACGAGAUGGCCAAAUUCAUGUUUGGGUUGCUUCUAAUCCAGUUUUGCAGAUUCUCGAAUCUGUUCUACUUCUAAUUUUGACCUCGAAUCAGGUGGGACUACCCGCUGAACUUAA
rnacentral:misc_RNA from 1 species